GACGAACGCUGGCGGCGUGCCUAAUACAUGCAAGUCGAACGCAGUGGGGACGGGUGAGUAACACGUGGGUAACCUCCCAUCAGAGGGGAUAACACUUGGAAACAGGUGCUAAACUGAUACUGAUGGAUGGACCCGCGGUGCAUUAGCUAGUUGGUGAGGUAACGGCUAACCAAGGCCACGAUGCAUAGCCGGCCUGAGAGGGUGACCGGCCACACUGGGACUGAGACACGGCCCAGACUCCUACGGGAGGCAGCAGUGGGGAAUCUUCGGCAAUGGACGAAAGUCUGACCGAGCAAUGCCGCGUGAGUGAAGAAGGUUUUCGGAUCGUAAAGCUCUGUUGUUAGAGAGGCGUUAUCUAAACAGAAAGCCACGGCUAACUCCGUGCCAGCCGCCGCGGUAAUUC
rnacentral:rRNA from 1 species